CUUAACGGUAAAAGGGCCUUCGAUACUGGAUUUCUUGAGUUCGGAAGAGGUCGGUGGAAUUCGUGGUGUAGCGGUGAAAUGCAUAGAUAUCACGAAGAACACCAGUGGCGAAGGCGGCCGACUGGUCCGAUACUGACGCUGAGACACGAGAGCGUGGGGAGCGAACAGGAUUAGAUACCCUGGUAGUCCACGCUGUAAACGAUGCAUGCUAGUUGAUGUCCCUUCGGGGGCAGUGACGCAGUUAACGCAGUAAGCAUGCCACCUGGGGAGUACGUUCGCAAGAAUGAAACUCAAAGGAAUUGACGGGGGCCCGCACAAGCGGUGGAGCAUGUGGCUUAAUUCGAUGCAACGCGAAGAACCUUACCUAGGCUAAAUCACCGGUGACCGGUCCUGAAAGGGACCUUCCCUUCGGGGCAGCGG
rnacentral:rRNA from 1 species